GUGGGGAAUAUUCCGCAAUGGACGAAAGUCUGACGGAGCAACGCCGCGUGAGUGAUGAAGGUCUUCGGAUUGUAAAGCUCUGUUAAUCGGGACGAAAGAGCCUAGUGUGAAUAAUGCUAGGAAGUGACGGUACCGGAAUAGAAAGCCACGGCUAACUACGUGCCAGCAGCCGCGGUAAUACGUAGGUGGCAAGCGUUGUCCGGAAUUAUUGGGCGUAAAGCGCGCGCAGGCGGAUCUGCCAGUCUGUCUUAAAAGUUCGGGGCUUAACCCCGUGAUGGGAUGGAAACUACAGAUCUAGAGUAUCGGAGAGGAAAGUGGAAUUCCUAGUGUAGCGGUGAAAUGCGUAGAUAUUAGGAAGAACACCAGUGGCGAAGGCGACUUUCUGGACGAAAACUGACGCUGAGGCGCGAAAGCCAGGGGAGCGAACGGGAUUAGAAACCCGUGUAGUCC
rnacentral:rRNA from 1 species